CUCACGUCUGAGGUGCCAUACGCACAGUCAAAGCUUCUUCAAGAUCAUCUGCUUAUCUUGAGUUUGUGGUGAUAUUAAUAUUGAAUGUUUAAAUGAUCUGAAUCUGCCAGUACUAGGGUAGCAUGAGACAAGAUUUCUAAGAAUAAGUAAAUGUGCCCUAGCCUAGGUUAUUAUGUCCAUACACAUAACACAUGACAAUCCCCAAGGUACUCUUGACACACCUCAUUCAUGCUUCAGGACAAAAAAGGAGUACCCCUAUAAAGGGUGGUUUUACCCACACAUACAUAUAUAUGUAUAUUAAUGCCAUAGGGGUGUCAAGGGGGGUACCAAAUAAUUUUAAGGUAAGAAACUAAGUUUGAAUCUAUUCUCCCAAGCAUUACGGCUAAUAAAAUCUGAAUUGGAAGGGAAGAGGUUUAUACAAUAAACAGGAGACCUUUUUCUUACAGGACAUGUAUGACUCAGCU